rnacentral:rRNA from 1 species
UCCUGCCGGAGGCCACUGCUAUCGGUUUCCGACUAAGCCAUGCGAGUCAGGUGUCGCAAGACGCCGGCGUACGGCUCUUUAACACGCGGAUGAUCUAUCCUCUGGUAGGGGAUAACCUCGGAAAACUGAGGCUAAUACCCUAUAGGUAUUUGAAGUUUGAAUACUCAGAUACUGAAAGCGUGAGCGCCAGAGGGUGAGUCUGCGGCCUAUCAGGUAGUAGGUGGUGUAAUGGACCACCUAGCCUAAGACGGGUACGGGCCUUGAGAGAGGAAGCCCGGAGAUGGAUUCUGAGACACGAAUCCAGGCCUUACGGGGCGCAGCAGGCGCGAAACCUUCACACUGCGCGUAAGCGCGAUGAGGGGAGACCGAGUGCCUUCUCUUUACGGGAAGGCUUUUCACAAGCCUAAAAAGCUUGUGGAAUAAGGGCUGGGCAAGACGGGUGCCAGCCGCCGCGGUAAUACCCGCAGCUCAAGUGGUGGUCGCUAUUAUUGAGCCUAAAACGUCCGUAGUCGGCUUUGUAAAUCCCUGGGUAAAUCGGGUUGCUCAACGAUCCGAUCCCUGGGGAGACUGCAAAGCUUGGGACCGGGCGAGGUUAGAGGUACUCUCGGGGUAGGGGUGAAAUCCUGUAAUCCCGAGGGGACCACCUGUGGCGAAAGCGUCUAACUUGAACGGCUCCGACGAUGAGGGAC